GAUGAACGCUGGCGGCAUGCCUAAUACAUGCAAGUCGAACGAGGCAUCUUCGGAUGCCUAGUGGCGAACGGGUGAGUAACACGUAGGGAACCUGCCCAUGCGGCCGGGACAACUUCCGGAAACGGAUGCUGAUACCGGAUAAGGAAAGCGAAGGCAUCUUUGCUUUGUUAAAGGAGCUGCAAGGCUCCGCGCAUGGAUGGACCUGCGGUGCAUUAGCUGGUUGGUGAGGUAAAGGCUCACCAAGGCGACGAUGCAUAGCCGGCCUGAGAGGGCGAACGGCCACACUGGGACUGAGACACGGCCCAG
rnacentral:rRNA from 1 species